CCAUGAGGGAUCGUAUACAGUCGAGCGGAUGACGGGAGCUUGCUCCCUGAUUAGCGGCGGACGGGUGAGUAAUGCCUAGGAAUCUGCCUGGUAGUGGGGGACAACGUUUCGAAAGGAACGCUAAUACCGCAUACGUCCUACGGGAGAAAGCAGGGGACCUUCGGGCCUUGCGCUAUCAGAUGAGCCUAGGUCGGAUUAGCUAGUUGGUGGGGUAAUGGCUCACCAAGGCGACGAUCCGUAACUGGUCUGAGAGGAUGAUCAGUCACACUGGAACUGAGACACGGUCCAGACUCCUACGGGAGGCAGCAGUGGGGAAUAUUGGACAAUGGGCGAAAGCCUGAUCCAGCCAUGCCGCGUGUGUGAAGAAGGUCUUCGGAUUGUAAAGCACUUUAAGUUGGGAGGAAGGGCAGUAAGUUAAUACCUUGCUGUUUUGACGUUACCGACAGAAUAAGCACCGGCUAACUCUGUGCCAGCAGCCGCGGUAAUACAGAGGGUGCAAGCGUUAAUCGGAAUUACUGGGCGUAAAGCGCGCGUAGGUGGUUCGUUAAGUUGGAUGUGAAAUCCCCGGGCUCAACCUGGGAACUGCAUCCAAAACUGGCGAGCUAGAGUAGGGCAGAGGGUGGUGGAAUUUCCUGUGUAGCGGUGAAAUGCGUAGAUAUAGGAAGGAACACCAGUGGCGAAGGCGACCACCUGGGCUCAUACUGACACUGAGGUGCGAAAGCGUGGGGAGCAAACAGGAUUAGAUACC
rnacentral:rRNA from 1 species